GAUGAACGCUGGCGGCGUGCCUAAUACAUGCAAGUCGAGCGAACGGACGAGAAGCUUGCUUCUCUGAUGUUAGCGGCGGACGGGUGAGUAACACGUGGAUAACCUACCUAUAAGACUGGGAUAACUUCGGGAAACCGGAGCUAAUAUCGGAUAAUAUUUUGAACCGCAUGGUUCAAAAGUGAAAGACGGUCUUGCUGUCACUUAUAGAUGGAUCCGCGCUGCAUUAGCUAGUUGGUAAGGUAACGGCUUACCAAGGCAACGAUGCAUAGCCGACCUGAGAGGGUAGUGGACCACGCUGGAGCUGAGGCACGGUCCAAACGCCUACGGGAGGCAGCAGUGGGGAAUCUUCCGCAAUGGGCGAAGGCCUGGCGGAGCAACGGCGCGUGAGUGAUGAAGGACUUCGGAUCGUAAAACUCUGUUAUUAGGAGAGAACAUAUGUGUAAGUAACUGUGCACAUCUUGACGGUACCUGAUCAGAAAGCCACGGCUAACUACGUG
rnacentral:rRNA from 1 species